rnacentral:tRNA from 1 species
GGUGGCGCUGGCCUGGGGCGCGGUGGCGGACCGGCUCGGCGCGCCGGGGCGGGCGCUCGCGCUCGCCGCCGGCGGGUCGCUGGCGGCGGCCGCCU